rnacentral:ncRNA from 1 species
CGCCCCGAGGAGCGUUGCAACCUUCGUCCAGAAGGCCAGGCUCGGGGUUCUACAUUGCAACCGCGCUCACCUGCA